UCCGAUAUGGUGUAGUGGCUAACAUUAUCGCCUCUCAUGACACUGCCGACGAACCGCGAUAGCCCGGGGUUCGAUUCCCCGUGUCGGAA